rnacentral:rRNA from 1 species
AAGACCUUACGCUUUUGGAGCGGCCGAUGUCUGAUUAGCUUGUUGGUGAGGUAAAGGCUUACCAAGGCUUCGAUCAGUAGCUGGUCUGAGAGGACGACCAGCCACACUGGGACUGAGACACGGCCCAGACUCCUACGGGAGGCAGCAGUGGGGAAUUUUGGACAAUGGGGGAAACCCUGAUCCAGCCAUGCCGCGUGAGUGAAGAAGGCCUUCGGGUUGUAAAGCUCUUUCAGCCGGAACGAAACGGUUACGAUUAAUACCUGUAACUACCGACGGUACCGGAAGAAGAAGCACCGGCUAACUACGUGCCAGCAGCCGCGGUAAUACGUAGGGUGCGAGCGUUAAUCGGAAUUACUGGGCGUAAAGCGUGCGCAGGUGGUUUUGUAAGUCAGAUGUGAAAUCCCCGGGCUUAACCUGGGAACU